GGGCAGUGAUGAGGAUUUUGAGAAAGUCAUGCACCACUCUGAUAUUAUCUGUGCUGAUAAAUCUCUCAUACCCAUAUGUUUCUGAGCCC
rfam:Populus trichocarpa isolate Nisqually-1 chromosome 5, whole genome shotgun sequence.